ensembl:lncRNA
UAUUCAUAUUGUUCUACCCACAACAAAAACUCCUUAUACAGCUACAUUCUCAUUUCGCUUCCCAUCGAAAUGUAUCAAAUGAAUGAAUAUAAAACUCGUCUUGUAGUCCAUCUAGUCAACUAUUGUAUACUUUUAAUCGUUCUGACUAAAAUACGGUACAUCUCGAUACCACUGUUUCGCUAACGAAGUCUUUCGACUGGGUGCAACAAGGCGUGAUCUCGAACUAAUCUUCCAACAAUUUUGGCCAAAUUUCUGUAGGUUAUGACAUGGAUUAAUUUUGAUAAACAAGUUAUCAUUCGAUGGGUUUUUGAUCAAGGCACCAUUUCUUCUAUUCUCCUUUCGCCCUUAAAGCAAAUUCUGACAAAAUAAUACAUGCAUUUGUUGCACAUUAUACCUACACAUUUCAACAGUGAAAAUCCACCUUUGUCUGUAGACGUUAAAAUGUACUUCAGUUUACUUCCAUAAACGUUAUACAUUUAACCAUCCGAUCUCAUUACACAUUUACGACUUAGCUUACGAUUGAACAUAUAAUUGCGUUGUUUAGUAUGUUAUCGGAUUGAUGGACCGAUCCAGAUAUCUCAAGGUUAACAUUAUUUCCUUAUAACUUCCGGGAUUAAGUAUGUGUCAAAACCUCUGCUACAGCCAGCCAAGCAUGCACUGCUCAUGAUUAUGAACACGCUAAAAACAUGAAAUUGCAUAUCAAAUGAAAUAUACAAGGUGUGCAAUUAAAUAUUCUCCAAAGUGUUCGCUUACUGUUUUUCCAGGUUUUUGCAUAAAAUAUAUUUAUUCACAAUGUACUGGUUAAUAUAAACUCUAGAAAAUGAAAUCUGUAAAAAUAAAAAUAAGCAUGUUUUCAUACACACACUGCACACGCACAGCCACACACUCGGGGGUCUGUUUUACAUUCUCUCCGGUAAUGGUUAAGGGUAAGACUGUGGACGGUCAACCUAAUCACAGGUCUUUAACUACAGAGGGAACGUUAACCCUAAGAGCUUCAAUCAUGGCGGUGUGUAUUAAUUAACCCCUUCAACCUGCUGACCUGGCACUAGAGAUGACAGCAACUGUACAUUGAUGCAAUUCAAGAUUGAAGCUGUCCAAUGUUUCACACCACCUAUAGCCGAGUCCCAGCUCUGUCUGUGCGUGGCAAGGAGUGACAACGUCGGCACAGACAGCGUAGACGCCGGGCCGUCUUUCACCCAUCCAAAAGAGAGGCCUGGAAGAAGACUGGUUUGAUCGAAUUAUUGGUUUAUUCACAUAUUUUUCAUUUCUUUUUUAAUUAAACGCAAGGUGAUUUAUAACAGGGAGUUGGGAGGUCCAAAGGACAGCUCACACAUAGUGUGGAAACAAACAAACAAAAACAAUAACGUUUCACAUCCUUUGUUUAAAAAAAACCCUAUUAGAAACAACAUAAUAUCCAGAACAAUACCAUAGCCUUUACAAUACUCAAAUUCCCAGUUCUCUUUGAGAGUCCAGCGAAGCUUUACAACAGUAUACAAUAUGGCCUCCUUGCUCCUGCCUCCUCCUCGGGAGUUGAUAUAGUCUUACUUUCAAGCUCUCUUUCUUUUUCAUUGUUCUCUUACUGCUCCUCACUUCAAUCCUAUGUUUUGAAGGGCACCCCUGUGUUUCGUUAGCGUCCCGUUGAAUACAGACAUUGGCUUCUCCUUGGUCCUAACCCAUCGCCAGUCAGACGAAGCCUGGGCAGAGUUCCUCCAAAAAGGUUUCUAGUUGUUUUUUUUGUUUUUUUUUCAAGGAGUCCACAGUAAGUAGCAGAUGCUCUUCUCGCUUUAGUCUUGGGUAAGGAAAACACCCGACAAGUCUUUAGUCUUGAGUAAGGAAAUCACCCGACAAGUCUUUAGUCUUGAGUAAGGAAAACACCCUACAAGUCUGUUAUUAUUCAUAUCUCUCAAUCGCUUCUUCUCAUAGAGGGAUCCCUUAGGGUCUACUGGGCUAGGCAGUCCGGCCUUUCGGUGGAGGGAUGAAUAGGGUCGUCCAGGAAUCGGACGCUGGCAGAGGGAACGGGCAGAGGGUCGGUGGAAGGUCUGGGUUCCCCUCUUAUCACUGCAUGGCGUGGAGCAGGCUGUGGAUCUGCCGGGACGGGUGUUGGAGGGGGUGGGGUCUGGGGGGGAUGGGAGCUGCUUGAAGCUGAAGUUGUUGUGGCCGGUCCCUUCUCUCCACCCCCGCCCCCCCCCCGCCCGACAGGCCGCAGAGCAGCCCUGUCAUCGGACAGGUCGUCCCCUGGUAUGCCCUGCAGUCCUGAAGGAGAGGAACAAAAUGGCGGAUCAGUGGGGGGGGUUUUGUACAGGAAGUCUGUAUGAAUGUAACAUUUCUUUCUUUAACAAACAUUGAAGUAGAACUGGACCGCAUUUCAGAUUUGGAUGGGAUAAGAACCAAGCUCAUUAGACAUGCAUUAUUCAGAAUUCAAGGUCAGUGGCUGCUGCUAUUGGCCGGAGCUAAUAGGGGUCCAAAUAAAAUACAGAAUUAAUUCAUACGUUGAAAUAUGCAUAGAGCAAACACUGACUGGCAAUUCAGCUGACCUAGAAUGACCGAUGCAGAGGACAGCAUUAAAAGCAACAGUAAGAAAAGCUGUUUACACUCCCCCGGACGGAGUCAGUAUUCACUGCUGUAACUGGCCCUCCCUCUCAUUCCUUUUCUCCAUCUAUUACCUCACUGGCUCUGCAGAUUGUUUGGGGAGCGACUGCAAUCUUAUCGGCCGGCCCAUGUUGACGCAUUCAUAAUUUUCGCCCAGGUGCUGGCGUUUAUAUGAUCAUGUCCAGGCAACAGACGAGUCGUCAAACAACAAUCGACUAGAGUGCACCCUUGUGCUACUGGCUGCCCAUUUCCCUGAGGGUGGGGACAGCACUCUCUGAGAACAUCUUUAGCACUAGAGACAGGAAACAUCUGUAAUAAAAUCAGCCCUUUGGAGACCCUAGAUAGGGACUACCUCUGACCCAAGACUACCUCUGACCCAAGACUACCUCUGUUCCAAGACUACCUCUGUUCCAAGACUACCUCUGACCCAAGACUACCUCUGUUCCAAGACUACCUCUGUUCCAAGGAACCCUUUUUGAAAAGUAGUGUAAUCACAUAGGAAAUAGUGUGUAAUAUAGCCAGGGACUUGGGCUUGUCGUAAUCUUAUGCAAGUCUGCCCUUCCCCAAGGUCACUGGAGGGGCGUGUGUGAGAGAUACCGUCACACGUUUUAGUGUGGGUUUAGUGUGUGUGAGCUAAUCCAGUAUUCUCCGUAAUGCCUCUUUAAGUACAGUGUGAGGGCACAGCCAAACACAGGUUCACUGAGAUCUACUCCAACUGAAACACAGGUUAACUGAGAUCUAUUCCAACUGAAACACAGGUUCACUGAGAUCUCCUGGAAUUGAAACAAAGCUUCACUAAGAUUUACUCCAACUGAAAAACAGUUUCACUGAGAUCUACUCCAACUUAAACACAGGUUCACUGAGAUCUCCUGGAACUGAAACACAGGUUUACUGAGAUCUACUCCAACUGAAACACAGGUUAACUGAGAUCUACUCCAACUGAAACACAGGUUUACUGAGAUCUACCCCAACUGAAACACAGGUUCACAGAGAUCUACUUGAACUGAAACAUAGUUUCACUGAGAUCUACUUCAAAUGAAACAGUUUCACCGAUAUUCAAUCCAACUGAAACAGAUUUACUGAGAUCUACAAUGCAAACAAAGCUUCACUGAGACCUACGUCAACUGAAACACAGUUUCACAGAUAUCUAAUCCAACUGAAACACAGCUUCACUGAGACCUAUUGCAACUGAAAUAGAUGUACCUAGAUCUAUUGCAACUGAAACACAAGUUCACUGAGAUCUACUUCAACUGAAAUAGAUUUACCUAGAUCUAUUGCAACUGAAACACAAGUUCACUGAGAUCUACUUAAACAGGUUUACAGAGAUCUACCCCAACUGUAACACAUGUUCUCUGCAAUAUUUUUCAAUGUUGAUUGGCCAAUAAAGCUUUCUUAUGUUUGUUUAAAGGCAUUAACCCAACCUCAGAAUAACCCACACUGAGACAGAAGGACAGUAGGAAAGACAAGAGUAAUUCUACUGAGACGCUUUGUAAGAUAUUGUAAAUAGACUGGACACAUUUGCCUCAAGGUAAGAUUUAAUAUUGUAUUUCUAUAAAUAACUCAAUGCAUCAGGUCCGCAAAUAAGGGAAAAAUAAUCUGUCACAAGAUCAGCAUCACAGUGAAACCUCUAGGCCACUGCACACUAGCCAAGCCCAGGCUCAGCAGGGAAAGAUGAGGUAAAAGAAUCCACAAUUUCUCUGUGCACUCCUGCUUUCUGUCACUGCACCUCCCUCUUCCUUCUCUCUAUCUCUCUCUUUGGGAACAAUGGAGUCAUGAGCCUUGGAGAAUAGCACCUAUCUCUGGGUGAGUACAGGCCACAGUGGAAACUCAACCAUUGUGCUCAGAUUAAAGAGAGACAGGGAGGGAUAUACACACUCGCAAAUAAACACACACACACACACACACACACACACACACCCUGUCCUAUAGGCUGAUACCUGAGAUGGCACAACUCUGUCGACGCGUGCCCCCCC